rnacentral:rRNA from 1 species
ACACUCCUGCGGGAGGCAGCAGUAGGGAAUCUUCGGCAAUGGGGGCAACCCUGACCGAGCAACGCCGCGUGAGUGAAGAAGGUUUUCGGAUCGUAAAGCUCUGUUGUAAGUCAAGAACGAGUGUGAGAGUGGAAAGUUCACACUGUGACGGUAGCUUACCAGAAAGGGACGGCUAACUACGUGCCAGCAGCCGCGGUAAUACGUAGGUCCCGAGCGUUGUCCGGAUUUAUUGGGCGUAAAGCGAGCGCAGGCGGUUUGAUAAGUCUGAAGUUAAAGGCUGUGGCUCAACCAUAGUUCGCUUUGGAAACUGUCAAACUUGAGUGCAGAAGGGGAGAGUGGAAUUCCAUGUGUAGCGGUGAAAUGCGUAGAUAUAUGGAGGAACACCGGUGGCGAAAGCGGCUCUCUGGUCUGUAACUGACGCUGAGGCUCGAAAGCGUGGGGAGCGAACAGGAUUAGAUACCCUUGUAGUCC